rnacentral:lncRNA from 1 species
CCACCGGACCACCCCCACCAAGACCUCCUCCCAGUCUACAUCACACCCCAGGCAACCAACAUCCGCCCCAAGACCUACAGCCCUCCUCCCACCGGGCCUAUGGAGGGGAUGCCUUACGACUUCCAGUGGGGAGUGACGGACCAGGACAGUGGCAACGCCUUCAGCCACGUAGAGAACAGUGACGGCCGAACCACCCAGGGGGAGUACCGCGUCCUGAUGCCCGACGGUCGUACUCAGGUGGUGACUUUCUAUGACAACGGCGACGGUUUCAACGCUGAUGUCACCUACGUGUAGCGGCCCUCACCUCCCCAGGUCCUCAGGAGCGACGACUCCACCUUCAGAACACACGAAGACUCAGACACUGUGAACCUCCACCCUGGGAAGAGAUUCUGAACACUGAGGCGCUUCAUAACACACUCGAAACAUCAAACCCCGACUUCAGCAACUCCUCCAACACCAACUAACAUGAACCUCGUACUCUGAACAGCUUCAUAACACACUCGAGACACCAACCUUCAACAACUCCUACACAAGACAACCUCCAUCAACUCUGAAGCGCUUCGACUCAUGUGUUCGGAACUUAAACCAAAACCUCAACAAGAUGACAGAAGCCAACGACCACCACGAACCUCCUCCCUCACCUCUCACGACCACCACGAACCUCCUCCCUCACCUCUCACGACCACCCGAACGACUUUCCUCCAAUAUAGGAAACGUUAGAGAGUUUAUUUCCUUCUCCGCUGCUAUAGUAACAUACCUCUCAUAGUGCUUCUCUCUAUAAUAUAUAAUGUAAUAUAACAAGAGGCUCCGAUAUACAAGUUGUGAUAUAUGUGUACAGUAGAGGCUAAGACCCCAACCAAUAUAUAACUAACAUAUAACUAAGACGAUAAUAUUUCUCUCAUUAUUCUAUUCAUCGACAGAAUUGGUCAAAAAUUCCUUUCUUUAUUGACAUUUCAGAUACGAAAAUCAUUAUUAAUAUAUUUAUUUUAUUACUUAAUACUUUCGUCUUUAUUAUCAGCCAUUUGUUAUUUUGCCAAUUAAAAAUAAUAUAUUCAAUUAACCUAACCUGACCUAACCUAACCUACCCGAACACAAAAUUACCCCUUUGUGUAUUAUUGAAUUCGUUUUUAAGUAAUUUUUAUUCUUUUAAAAUAAUUCCUUCACCUUAAUCUCAUCCACAGUAUUAUAUGUAUAUAUAUAUAUAAUGAAUCUCUAUGUACAAAUUAAUUACACCAAAUUAUAUCAACAAAUUCAAAAACAGGUAAUUACUCAGCAAAUAUAAUCCAGUAAUUAUUUAUUCUAUUAUUAUUCUAACUAGCCAUUAACUAACACUAUCAAUAACAACUACAACAACAAGUAUUAUAUUGAUCUUAAACAACAAAUGCACAUAAAACAACAAACCCGUAUCAUUCAUGUUUUAACCUCCGUCCCUGUAAUAUUCUCUAACAAACUUUCUAUGUACAUUCAUUUCUAUAUUUCACUUUAAUGGAUAUAAGCUUCAUUAUCUCUCUAUGUUUGUCUGCCUUAUAUAGUCGUGUUCUCUAUGAUAAAAUAUACUUUAUGUUGAA